GGUAUCAGAAGUGCGAAUGCUGACAUAAGUAACGAUAAAGCGGGUGAAAAGCCCGCUCGCCGGAAGACCAAGGGUUCCUGUCCAACGUUAAUCGGGGCAGGGUGAGUCGACCCCUAAGGCGAGGCCGAAAGGCGUAGUCGAUGGGAAACAGGUUAAUAUUCCUGUACUUGGUGUUACUGCGAAGGGGGGACGGAGAAGGCUAUGUUGGCCGGGCGACGGUUGUCCCGGUUUAAGCGUGUAGGCUGGUUUUCCAGGCAAAUCCGGAAAAUCAAGGCUGAGGCGUGAUGACGAGGCACUACGGUGCUGAAGCAACAAAUGCCCUGCUUCCAGGAAAAGCCUCUAAGCAUCAGGUAACAUCAAAUCGUACCCCAAACCGACACAGGUGGUCAGGUAGAGAAUACCAAGGCGCUUGAGAGAACUCGGGUGAAGGAACUAGGCAAAAUGGUGCCGUAACUUCGGGAGAAGGCACGCUGAUAUGUAGGUGAAGUCCCUCGCGGAUGGAGCUGAAAUCAGUCGAAGAUACCAGCUGGCUGCAACUGUUUAUUAAAAACACAGCACUGUGCAAACACGAAAGUGGACGUAUACGGUGUGACGCCUGCCCGGUGCCGGAAGGUUAAUUGAUGGGGUUAGCCGCAAGGCGAAGCUCUUGAUCGAAGCCCCGGUAAACGGCGGCCGUAACUAUAACGGUCCUAAGGUAGCGAAAUUCCUUGUCGGGUAAGUUCCGACCUGCACGAAUGGCGUAAUGAUGGCCAGGCUGUCUCCACCCGAGACUCAGUGAAAUUGAACUCGCUGUGAAGAUGCAGUGUACCCGCGGCAAGACGGAAAGACCCCGUGAACCUUUACUAUAGCUUGACACUGAACAUUGAGCCUUGAUGUGUAGGAUAGGUGGGAGGCUUAGAAGUGUGGACGCCAGUCUGCAUGGAGCCGACCUUGAAAUACCACCCUUUAAUGUUUGAUGUUCUAACGUUGACCCGUAAUCCGGGUUGCGGACAGUGUCUGGUGGGUAGUUUGACUGGGGCGGUCUCCUCCUAAAGAGUAACGGAGGAGCACGAAGGUUGGCUAAUCCUGGUCGGACAUCAGGAGGUUAGUGCAAUGGCAUAAGCCAGCUUGACUGCGAGCGUGACGGCGCGAGCAGGUGCGAAAGCAGGUCAUAGUGAUCCGGUGGUUCUGAAUGGAAGGGCCAUCGCUCAACGGAUAAAAGGUACUCCGGGGAUAACAGGCUGAUACCGCCCAAGAGUUCAUAUCGACGGCGGUGUUUGGCACCUCGAUGUCGGCUCAUCACAUCCUGGGGCUGAAGUAGGUCCCAAGGGUAUGGCUGUUCGCCAUUUAAAGUGGUACGCGAGCUGGGUUUAGAACGUCGUGAGACAGUUCGGUCCCUAUCUGCCGUGGGCGCUGGAGAACUGAGGGGGGCUGCUCCUAGUACGAGAGGACCGGAGUGGACGCAUCACUGGUGUUCGGGUUGUCAUGCCAAUGGCACUGCCCGGUAGCUAAAUGCGGAAGAGAUAAGUGCUGAAAGCAUCUAAGCACGAAACUUGCCCCGAGAUGAGUUCUCCCUGAC
rnacentral:rRNA from 1 species